GACGGAGGGUGCAAGCGUUGCUCGGAAUCAUUGGGCGUAAAGGGUGCGUAGGCGGCUUUUUAAGUCUGACGUGAAAGCCCAAGGCUCAGCCUUGGAAGUGCGCCAGAAACUGAAAGGCUAGAGUGCCGGAGGGGAGAGUGGAAUUCCUGGUGUAGCGGUGAAAUGCGUAGAUAUCAGGAGGAAUACCGGUGGCGAAAGCGGCUCACUGGGUCUCUUCUGACGCUGAGGCACGAAAGCUAGGGGAGCGAACGGG
rnacentral:rRNA from 1 species